rnacentral:lncRNA from 1 species
AUUGCCUCCUGUACCAGGGCAGAUUACUGGCUAUGUAGCACAAAAGUUAUAGAUAUGGCUGAUCUUGUCACAAAUCUGACUUGCAAGACUUAUGUAGACAUUUUUUCUUUUCAUAACAAUGAACAGGAAGCAAGAAAGAAAUUUUAAAGAGAAAAAUAGGUGCAGAGUUGUCACAAACAAUAAGGAACUCAACAUGUAACAAGAGUGAGUUCACAAAACAAAUAUCCAGAAAUAAAUUCCAAACUCAAACCUUCCUCUGGCUAACUAAGCAAGUCCAUUCCAAAUUCUAGAAUCCCAAUAAUCUAGUCAACAUGUUUUGGUCAAACCCAUGAAAAGAAAUGGAGAAAAGUUAGAAAACAUCUUUUUCUUAACAUUAAUAUUCCUAAGGUAGGAUUCUAUGCUAAAUAGCUAGAUUCAAGCUGUACGUCUAUGUUGUAUUGAAUUUAUAAGGAUGUCUCAGUAAAUUUACAGAUUAAAAAAUGGAUUGAAGGAGGCAAAAAAAGCAUUGUGAAAAUUUCAUCAGGAUUGAAAACACUGUGUGGGUAAAAAAUUACUAUCCAUAGUAGUCAAUGAUGAAAUAAAACGUACAGCGAGAAAGCAUGGCCCAAAUGCCCACUAAGCUCAUAUAAGACAUCUUUUUUUUUCCCCCAUAUAAGACAUCUUAUUACUUACCCAUCUGCUUUCUUUUGGAAUUCAUAUGAGAGGUCAGUCAGAUAAAGGUUUUUUAAAGAAGCAGCACGAAGAAAUUAUAAAAUGCAGAGUGGUAAAAGGGAAAACAAGGACUGUCUCAGGUGUAGAGGCUUUCUGCCCAUUAAGAUGACCAGAAUUCUAUCACUAGUAAUUAAAAACUGAUAUUUUGGGGGCACCUGGGUGGCUAAGUUGGUUAAGCAUUCGAUUUCAGCUCAGGUCAUGAUCUCACAGUCGGUGAGUUCAAGCCCUGUGUGGGGCUCUGUGCUGAUAGCUCGGGCCUGGAGCCUGCUUCAGAUUCUGUGUCUCCCUCACUCUCUUCUUCCCCACUUGUGCUCUGUCUCUGUCUCUCAAAAAUAAACAUAAAAAAGCCCUGAUAUUUUGGUGUCAGAUUGUAUAUUAUGUGCACACUCAUAUACAAUAUUUAAGAUUCAAUCCCGCCCCCCACCUUUUAUUUAAUAUCUAUUUAUGCCUUUAGUUACCUCUUGUGUUAAUUUUGGUAUGAACCUCGAGCUGGGGAUCACUUGAAACCAUGCAAGGCCACCAAGGAUAGGUUCCCACCUUAGACCAAACAAGAUCGCCAACCUGGAACUUAACACCAGCUGACACUUCUGUUGUUGGAACAGAAGAUAAUAUUGGCUGAACCUACAGGAAAAGGUCAUAAAACUUCAUUAGCACACAAAGUUAAAAAAAAGACAUUAUGUACAAGUACAUUAAACAUGUUAACCUAGUAA